UCCAUUUGUCAAAAGUUUUAGUAUCACAUAACAUAACCCACAAAAAAAAAACGCGAAUUCCUUAAAUUUCCAUUUACCUAUUUAUUGAAGCUCAUAAUUUUUGUGAGUCCUUUUUUGCACGUUCCAGAUAUAAAAUCUAUUCAGCUGAUUAUUAUGAUGUCGACAUUGUGAUUCCUUUUGUUAGACCUCCAUUGCCCCCCCGCUCCAUUUGUGGCUGGGUGGGAAAUUCCAAGGGAUGGCUUCUUUUUUGGCAGAAAUCGAGCUGGUGGAAACAAAACUUAAACAAAAAUUCGUUAUUAUUUUAUGAGGUGAUUUUAUUUUAAAUGGAAGUGAAGUAUGAAAAUGAUAUUCUUUUGGUGCCGCUUAUUGUUUUGCGUUUAUGAGAUUCGCCCCAUUUUUCGGGGAGGCCUUAAGAGCCACCUCAAUGAAACUGUUGCAAUGAUUAUAAAUUCGGUGAAUUUUUAUGGCUGCUGUUUUCGAAUUACACUAUAAAAUUGACAAUAAAAAGAGCAUGGCGCGUUCAA